rnacentral:rRNA from 1 species
AUCCUGGCUCAGAUUGAACGCUGGCGGCAGGCCUAACACAUGCAAGUCGAGCGGGGUUUUCGGACCUAGCGGCGGACGGGUGAGUAAUGCGUAGAAAGCUACCCGAUAGAGGGGAUACCAGUUGGAAACGACUGUUAAUACCGCAUAAUGUCUACGGACCAAAGUGUGGGACCUUCGGGCCACAUGCUAUCGGAUGCGCCUACGUGGGAUUAGCUAGUUGGUGAGGUAAUGGCUCACCAAGGCGACGAUCUCUAGCUGGUUUGAGAGGAUGAUCAGCCACACUGGAACUGAGACACGGUCCAGACUCCUACGGGAGGCAGCAGUGGGGAAUAUUGGACAAUGGGCGCAAGCCUGAUCCAGCCAUGCCGCGUGUGUGAAGAAGGCCUUCGGGUUGUAAAGCACUUUCAGCGAGGAGGAAGGGUUGUGUGUUAAUAGUACACAGCCUUGACGUUACUCGCAGAAGAAGCACCGGCUAACUCUGUG